GGGUGCGAACAUACCAGCACUAAUGCACCGGGUCGUGUUAGAACUCCGCAGUUAAACGUGCUUGGGCGAGAGUAGUACUAGGUUAGGUGACCUAUUAGGAACUCCUCGUGUUGCACCCC
rfam:Beta vulgaris subsp. vulgaris 0533.scaffold01098.con0006.1, whole genome shotgun sequence.